AGCAACAAAUGCCCUGCUUCCAGGAAAAGCCUCUAAGCAUCAGGUAACAUCAAAUCGUACCCCAAACCGACACAGGUGGUCAGGUAGAGAAUACCAAGGCGCUUGAGAGAACUCGGGUGAAGGAACUAGGCAAAAUGGUGCCGUAACUUCGGGAGAAGGCACGCUGAUAUGUAGGUGAAGUCCCUCGCGGAUGGAGCUGAAAUCAGUCGAAGAUACCAGCUGGCUGCAACUGUUUAUUAAAAACACAGCACUGUGCAAACACGAAAGUGGACGUAUACGGUGUGACGCCUGCCCGGUGCCGGAAGGUUAAUUGAUGGGGUCAGCGCAAGCGAAGCUCUUGAUCGAAGCCCCGGUAAACGGCGGCCGUAACUAUAACGGUCCUAAGGUAGCGAAAUUCCUUGUCGGGUAAGUUCCGACCUGCACGAAUGGCGUAAUGAUGGCCAGGCUGUCUCCACCCGAGACUCAGUGAAAUUGAACUCGCUGUGAAGAUGCAGUGUACCCGCGGCAAGACGGAAAGACCCCGUGAACCUUUACUAUAGCUUGACACUGAACAUUGAGCCUUGAUGUGUAGGAUAGGUGGGAGGCUUUGAAGUGUGGACGCCAGUCUGCAUGGAGCCGACCUUGAAAUACCACCCUUUAAUGUUUGAUGUUCUAACGUGGACCCGUGAUCCGGGUUGCGGACAGUGUCUGGUGGGUAGUUUGACUGGGGCGGUCUCCUCCUAAAGAGUAACGGAGGAGCACGAAGGUUGGCUAAUCCUGGUCGGACAUCAGGAGGUUAGUGCAAUGGCAUAAGCCAGCUUGACUGCGAGCGUGACGGCGCGAGCAGGUGCGAAAGCAGGUCAUAGUGAUCCGGUGGUUCUGAAUGGAAGGGCCAUCGCUCAACGGAUAAAAGGUACUCCGGGGAUAACAGGCUGAUACCGCCCAAGAGUUCAUAUCGACGGCGGUGUUUGGCACCUCGAUGUCGGCUCAUCACAUCCUGGGGCUGAAGUAGGUCCCAAGGGUAUGGCUGUUCGCCAUUUAAAGUGGUACGCGAGCUGGGUUUAGAACGUCGUGAGACAGUUCGGUCCCUAUCUGCCGUGGGCGCUGGAGAACUGAGGGGGGCUGCUCCUAGUACGAGAGGACCGGAGUGGACGCAUCACUGGUGUUCGGGUUGUCAUGCCAAUGGCACUGCCCGGUAGCUAAAUGCGGAAGAGAUAAGUGCUGAAAGCAUCUAAGCACGAAACUUGCCCCGAGAUGAGUUCUCCCUGACCCUUUAAGGGUCCUGAAGGAACGUUGAAGACGACGACGUUGAUAGGCCGGGUGUGUAAGCGCAGCGAUGCGUUGAGCUAACCGGUACUAAUGAACCGUGAGGCUUAACCUU
rnacentral:rRNA from 1 species